rnacentral:rRNA from 1 species
ACUGAACGCUGGCGGCAUGCCUUACACAUGCAAGUCGAACGGUAACAGGUCUUCGGAUGCUGACGAGUGGCGAACGGGUGAGUAAUACUUCGGAACGUGCCUAGUAGUGGGGGAUAACUACUCGAAAGAGUGGCUAAUACCGCAUGAGAUCUACGGAUGAAAGCAGGGGAUCGCAAGACCUUGUGCUACUAGAGCGGCCGAUGGCAGAUUAGGUAGUUGGUGGGAUAAAAGCUUACCAAGCCGACGAUCUGUAGCUGGUCUGAGAGGACGAUCAGCCACACUGGGACUGAGACACGGCCCAGACUCCUACGGGAGGCAGCAGUGGGGAAUUUUGGACAAUGGGCGAAAGCCUGAUCCAGCAAUGCCGCGUGCAGGAUGAAGGCCUUCGGGUUGUAAACUGCUUUUGUACGGAACGAAAAGCCCCGGGUUAAUACCCUGGGGUCAUGACGGUACCGUAAGAAUAAGCACCGGCUAACUACGUGCCAGCCGCCGGCGUAA